rnacentral:rRNA from 1 species
GGUUAAGCGACUAAGCGUACACGGUGGAUGCCCUGGCAGUCAGAGGCGAUGAAGGACGUGCUAAUCUGCGAAAAGCGCCGGCGAGGUGAUAUGAACCUUUGACCCGGCGAUGUCCGAAUGGGGAAACCCAGUGCAAUUCGUUGCACUAUCGUUAACUGAAUACAUAGGUUAACGAGGC